rnacentral:rRNA from 1 species
GACGAACGCUGGCGGCGUGCCUAAUACAUGCAAGUCGAACGCAGGGGGGACGGGUGAGUAACACGUGGGUAACCUCCCAUCAGAGGGGAUAACCCUUGGCAACAGGUGCUAAACCGGUACUGAUGGAUGGACCCGCGGUGCAUUAGCUAGUGGGUGAGGUAACGGCGCACCAAGGCCACGAUGCAUAGCUGAUCGGAGAGGGUGAUCGGCCACACGGGAACUGAGACACGGCCCAGACUCCUACGGGAGGCAGCAGUGGGGAAUCUUCGGCAAUGGGCGAAAGUCUGACCGAGCAAUGCCGCGUGAGUGAAGAAGGUUUUCGGAUCGUAAAACUCUGUUGUUAGAGAAGCGGUAUCUAACCAGAAAGCCACGGCUAACUACGUGCCAGCAGCCGCGGUAAUUC